rnacentral:rRNA from 1 species
GAUGAACGCUGGCGGCGUGCUUAACACAUGCAAGUCGAACGGCAGCACGGCGACCUUUUUUUUUUGGGUGGAGAGGGGCGAACGGGUGAGUAAUAUCGCGAAACGUCCCGAGUCAUGGGGGAUAACUCAGCGAAAGAUUAUCUAUAACCGCGUAUUCUCUGAGGCGGAAAGCUGAUGACUUUCGGGCCUUGCUUUAUUCGCUCGGCGAUUGUCUGACUCGGUAUUAGCUGGUUGGUGGGGUUACGGCAUACCAAGGCAGCGAUGAGUAGGCGACGUGAGAGGAUGAUCGGCCACACUGGGACUGAGACGCGGCCCAGACGACUACGGGAGGCAGCAGUAGGGAAUAUUAGGCAAUGGGCGGAAGCCGGAUGCAGCAACGCCGCGUGGGUGAAGAGGGCCUUCGGGUGGUAAAGAACUUUUGUCAGGGAAGAAAAGGGUGUUGCUAAUAUGUGCAGGUGUUGACGGUACCUGAAGAAGAAGCACCGGCUAACUACGUG